GAUGAAGAACGUAGCGAAAUGCGAUACUUGGUGUGAAUUGCAGAAUCCCGUGAACCAUCGAGUCUUUGAACGCAAGUUGCGCCCGAAGCCAUUAGGCCGAGGGCACGCCUGCCUGGGCGUCACACGUCGUUGCCCCCCCCAUCUACUCCUUCGGGAUUGCGGGGGGCGGAUGAUGGCCUCCCGUGCGCCUCGCCGCGCGGUUGGCAUAAAUGCCAAGUCCUCGGCGACGCACGCCACGACAAUCGGUGGUUGCGAAACCUCGGUUGCCCGUCGUGUGCGGUCGUCGCGCAUCGAGGGCUCGAAAAAAUUGCCGAGUUCCGGCUCGGCUUUCAACGCGACCCCAGGUCAGGCGGGGUUACCCGCUGAAUUUAAGCAUAUCAAUAGCGGAGGA
rnacentral:misc_RNA from 1 species